rnacentral:rRNA from 1 species
UGGCGGACGGGUGAGUAAUGCAUAGGAAUCUGCCCGAUAGUGGGGGAUAAUCUUGGGAAACCCAGGCUAAUACCGCAUACGUCCUACGGGAGAAAGGGGGCUCCGGCUCCCGCUAUCGGAUGAGCCUAUGUCGGAUUAGCUGGUUGGUGAGGUAAAGGCUCACCAAGGCGACGAUCCGUAGCUGGUCUGAGAGGAUGAUCAGCCACAUCGGGACUGAGACACGGCCCGAACUCCUACGGGAGGCAGCAGUGGGGAAUAUUGGACAAUGGGGGCAACCCUGAUCCAGCCAUGCCGCGUGUGUGAAGAAGGCCCUCGGGUUGUAAAGCACUUUCAGUGAGGAAGAACGCCUGGUGGUUAAUACCCAUCAGGAAAGACAUCACUCACAGAAGAAGCACCGGCUAACUCCGUGCCAGCAGCCGCGGUAAUACGGAGGGUGCGAGCGUUAAUCGGAAUUACUGGGCGUAAAGCGCGCGUAGGUGGCUUGAUAAGCCGGUUGUGAAAGCCCCGGGCUCAACCUGGGAACGGCAUCCGGAACUGUCAAGCUAGAGUGCAGGAGAGGAAGGUAGAAUUCCCGGUGUAGCGGUGAAAUGCGUAGAGAUCGGGAGGAAUACCAGUGGCGAAGGCGGCCUUCUGGACUGACACUGACACUGAGGUGCGAAAGCGUGGGUAGCAAACAGGAUUAGAUACCCUGGUAGUCCACGCCGUAAACGAUGUCGACCAGCCGUUGGGUGCCUAGCGCACUUUGUGGCGAA